rnacentral:rRNA from 1 species
GUGCCAGCCGCCGCGGUAAUACGUAGGUGGCAAGCGUUAUCCGGAAUUAUUGGGCGUAAAGCGCGCGUAGGCGGUUUUUUAAGUCUGAUGUGAAAGCCCACGGCUCAACCGUGGAGGGUCAUUGGAAACUGGAAAACUUGAGUGCAGAAGAGGAAAGUGGAAUUCCAUGUGUAGCGGUGAAAUGCGCAGAGAUAUGGAGGAACACCAGUGGCGAAGGCGACUUUCUGGUCUGUAACUGACGCUGAUGUGCGAAAGCGUGGGGAUCAAACAGGAUUAGAUACCCUGGUAGUCAAGGGCG